GAUGAACGCUAGCUACAGGCUUAACACCUGCAAGUCGAGGGACCGGCGCACGGGUGAGUAACACGUAUCCAACCUGCCCUUUACUCGGGGAUCUACUUUCGAAAGAAAGAUUAAUACCCACUAUAAAGGAUGGGGGUGCGUUCCAUUAGGUUGUUGGUGAGGUAACGGCUCACCAAGCCUUCGAUGGAUAGGGGUUCUGAGAGGAAGGUCCCCCACAUUGGAACUGGGACACGGUCCCAACUCCUACGGGAGGCAGCAGUGAGGAAUAGUGGUCAAGGGGCGCUAGCCUGAACCAGCCAAGUAGCGUGAAGGAGGCAGGCUUAUUGGUCGUAAACUUCUUUUAUAUAAGAAUAUGUAUUAUAUGAAUAAGGAGCGGCUAACUCCGUGCCAGCAGCCGCGGUAAUUC
rnacentral:rRNA from 1 species